rnacentral:rRNA from 1 species
UACAGAGGGUGCAAGCGUUGUUCGGAAUUAUUGGGCGUAAAGCGCGUGUAGGCGGCUUUGCAAGUCGGGUGUGAAAGCCCUCAGCUUAACUGAGGAAGUGCGCCCGAAACUGCAGAGCUUGAGUACCGGAGAGGAUGGUGGAAUUCCCCAAGUAGAGGUGAAAUUCGUAGAUAUGGGGGAGAACACCGGUGGCGAAGGCGACCAUCUGGACGGAUACUGACGCUGAGACGCGAAAACGUGGGUAGCAAACAGG